CAGCAGCCGCCGCGGUAAUACAGAGGGUGCGAGCGUUAAUCGGAUUUACUGGGCGUAAAGCGUGCGUAGGCGGCUUUUUAAGUCGGAUGUGAAAUCCCUGAGCUUAACUUAGGAAUUGCAUUCGAUACUGGGAAGCUAGAGUAUGGGAGAGGAUGGUAGAAUUCCAGGUGUAGCGGUGAAAUGCGUAGAGAUCUGGAGGAAUACCGAUGGCGAAGGCAGCCAUCUGGCCUAAUACUGACGCUGAGGUACGAAAGCAUGGGGAGCAAACAGGAUUAGAUACCCGCGUAGUCCCUGUCUCUUAUAA
rnacentral:rRNA from 1 species